rnacentral:lncRNA from 1 species
UUCACUUCAUGUUAUGAAGUCAGUAAGGCAGAUGGAGAAACGGAAGCAUACUGUAGCAAAGAGAGUUGUACUAGAGGAAAAAAAAUAAGGAAGGAUCAGAGGUGGAUCUGGAUUUCCACCCUUUUUGAUGACAUGACUUUUUUUUAAAGAUUUUAUUUAUUUUUUCAGGAAAGACACACACACACACACACACACACACACACACACACACACAGAGGCAGAGACCCAGGCAGAGGGAGAACCAGGCUCCAUGCAGGGAGUCUGGUGUGGGACUCGAUCCUGGGACUCCAGGAUCACGCCCUGGGCUGAAGGCAGGUGCUAAACCACUGAGCCACCCAGGGAUCCCAGGACAUGACUUGUUGACACAACCUGUGGUCCAGUCCCCCAGUCUUCAUCUUGAGGUGAAUGCUUGUUGCAAGAUACCUUCAGGCAAACCAAAGAAAAAGAUGAACCCUGUUCCAGCCUUACUGAAGUUGGUACCUAUGCUUAUUUCAUGUGAAUCAGUCCUAAAUCCCAGUCUUGAAUACACUUUGGGCCUCUUCAUGGGUGCUAGGUUGUUUUAUUUUUGCCUGAUGCUCUAUAACUUCAUAGUGGUGGGAAAACUACUUAUUAAGAAGAAAUGAAGCAAUUUGGAGUCUAGAUGGUGCCAGAGUGAAUAAAUUAAACAUAUCCCCCCAGAAACAUGUAAACAAAAAGGAAUUUCUUACAAAAAGCCACCUAGAUCUUUGGCAAAGAGUUUAAAAUUCAUUACUAUUGGGUUUGGUUAUUGGCUUUGUGGGUCCUAGUUUCAGCCUGACUGAAUGAUAUAAGAAUGUAGAUUGAUGGAAAUGGGGGAGGGGUGCUCUAUUAGAUUUUGUUAAGCCAAGAGUUGAAAAUCUUGAGAAUUAUUUCCUAUAAUAGCCUCCAUUGUUACUGAUGUGUCAGGCACCCAGCAUGAUGCUGCAGAUACAAAGAUGAACAAAUCCCAAUCGCCAAUAUCAUGAAAUUUUAAAGAUGUAGAAAAGAGGUAACCAAACAAUUUCAGCAAAGUAUGGCAAAUGCUAAGAUAGAGGAGUAAGAUCAACCAAGAACCCUUCAUGACUGACAAUGUUUCUUAAAUGGAUUCUGGGAUUUGGGGCUCACUGCGUGUCCUUCAUUAUCUGUGUCAUAUUUGCCAUUUUAUGAGGUGGUAAGGUAGUUUUCAUCAGAUGAAAUCUAGACUCAAAUUAUGGUUUGAUCCCCCUGUUAACCUGGUUGAUUCUUAGUUAUGUCAUUUAUGAAAUGAAGAUGGAUAUAUCUCUUUGGCUUAUUAUGAGGAUCAAAUAAGACUAAAGUAGAGUGCUUAGCUCAGUGCCUGGCAUAGAGUAAGCCUUCAGUAAAUAACAGCUCGUGUUGAUGCUCCUCUUGUUAUUGCUGCUGUCAUUAGGUUCUGAGAAACUCCAGUAAAUAUUUUUCUCUUACUAUUGUGUUAGAUUGUGGCAAACCUGUGACUCACUGUGGUUCACCUACUUACUGUUGUUAAUUCCUCUCUUCCUCUUCUUUUCUCAUGCCCUGAGUGCCUUUCCAGCUCACCUAUGGCUCAUGGGCAUUUCCCCUCACAGACUGUCUUCCUGCAGAAAGCAUCCUCCUUCCUGGAGAAAGAGGAUGAUUUAUGGGAAGCCAUGAGGUUUAGGAGUCUAUAGGGGAAAGGAGAUGAGAACAAGGUAGAUGAGGGCUUUUGACUGACUCAGACACUCAAGGACCUUGCUGAUAAAAUGUAAGAGGGCCUAGAAACUAAUAGGGAAUCAACUGAGUUGCUUUGAGGAUAAGGUGAGAAAAUUUUCCUUUGCUUAUCAGGGUGCUUAAAAAGAGAGUAUUGACAUCAAUAUUCUGGAAGCAGAAAGCCUAAUAUGAGGAGAGAAGUGAGAGGAGACAUGACAGAAGAAUGAAGCACCAAAGGAAAAGAAUGAUUAAAACUUCGACAGCAAGAGGGGCACCUGGGUGGCUAAGUCAGUCAACAACUCUUGAUUUUUGGCU